rnacentral:rRNA from 1 species
GAUGAACGCUGGCGGCGUGCCUUCACAUGCAAGUCGAACGAACCUUCGGGUGAGCGGCGGACGGGUUAGUAACGCGUGGGAACGUGCCCUUCUCUACGGAAUAGCCUCUGGAAACGGAGAGUAAUACCGUAUACGCCCUUUGGGGGAAAGAUUUAUCGGAGAAGGAUCGGCCCGCGUUAGAUUAGGUAGUUGGUGGGGUAACGGCCUACCAAGCCUACGAUCUAUAGCUGGUUUUAGAGGAUGAUCAGCAACACUGGGACUGAGACACGGCCCAGACUCCUACGGGAGGCAGCAGUGGGGAAUCUUAGACAAUGGGGGCAACCCUGAUCUAGCCAUGCCGCGUGAGUGAUGAAGGCCUUAGGGUCGUAAAGCUCUUUCGCCUGUGAUGAUAAUGACAGUAGCAGGUAAAGAAACCCCGGCUAACUCCGUG